GCUUGCAGUAAGCCAAGAUUGUGCCACUGCACUCCAGCCUGGGCGACAGAGAGAGAGACUCUGUCUCAAAAAAAAAAAAAAAGUUCUUUCCGGGACACAAAGGCAUACAAGUGCACAAUUUCUCUAAACAGGCCGGAACUAGUGCAUACUCAUGAUCUCUUAUUAGGAGAAAGUUACUAAAAUCAGUCUCUUGUCUAAUUAAAGCUGUAGUUAUGGCUGGCAGAGCCGGGGCUGGGGGUCACUUCGUAUCUAAUGGGGUGCCAUGUUUGUAACCAGACCCAGGUUUGGCUGCUCACCACUUGAAAGCCAAACAUGAGAAGUGAGGGUGGUGGAAGGAAAAAUAACCAAGUUGUAAAGACCAGCUCCACAAGCCUGCUAGCACUUGCUUAAAGCCAACUUUUCCUUCCACCAACUCUCACCUCUCAUGUCUGGCUUUCUAGCAGUGAGCAGCUGAACCUCGGUCCAGUUACAACAGCAACAGCUUAAAGUUGAAUGGGACUCUUGCUGUCUCUGCUGAUGGAAGUAUUCCCCCUGUGGAAACCAGGAUCUUUAGAUCUACAGAGCCUAAAGCUGCAAGAGUAAGAAGAACAAAUUCUCCAAGUGAGUCAUUGGUAAAGAUGGAGUGGCCAUGGAAGAAGAUGGCUGAUGUCAACUAGACUACUACUUGUUUGGACCACUACCAAUGAUUCGGACUACUGGGUUGUUGAGUGCCUCCUCCACAGCAUAUACUCUCUGAAUGGGGCCUGCAGGAGCUGACAGGGAUCCGUGCUGGGGAUAGAUGCUGCUGACAACCUGAAGAAGAAUCCACCCUCUGGCUCUGAAAUUAACCGCGCUCAGCAGUCUUGUAGCCAGAGUGAGAGCACCUUCCCCCUGCAGCCCUCCUGGGGAGCCGCAGCCCGGAGGACUGAGGAGUGCCCUCCGUUGCAGGUGGGAGUGGCGGGAUGGGAGUGUGGAGAUCCAGAGUGGCCACCAGGCCAUUGCUCGACCUAGUUCCUGCUCAGUCCCUCUGGGGCUGGCAGACUUCACAGUCCAGCUUGCUCUGGGGAGACCACAUUCUGGAGGCAGCAGCCACCACCGUCCUGGGGCUCUGUCUUUCAAAGAGAAGCCUCUGUCCUUUUCAAAGACAGAACACCUGUGCUUGGCAGGCAAGAAUAACAUUGAUGGUGGGAAAUCCCAUUCUCUAAAAUAUUAUAAAACAGAAAGUAUGAAGGAAUUAAAGUCCACUGAAAAAGUAUCCUGGGACUGGGUGCAGUGUUGAUGCCUGCAAUUCUAGCACUUUGGGAGGCUGAGACAGGAGGAUUGCUUGAGGCCACAAGUUUGAGACCAGCCUGGGCAACAAAAAUGAGACCCAGUCUCUACAAAAAAAAUUUUAAAAUUAG